CCUACGGGUGGCAGCAGUGAGGAAUAUUGGUCCAUGGGCGCGAGCCUGAACCAGCCAAGUAGCGUGAAGGAUGACUGCUCUAUGUGUUGUAAACUUCUUUUAUAAAGGAAUAAAGUGAGGCACGUGUGCCUUUUUGUAUGUACUUUAUGAAUAAGGAUCGGCUAACUCCGUGCCAGCAGCCGCGGUAAUAAGGAGGAUCCGAGCGUUAUCCGGAUUUAUUUGGUUUAAAGGGGGCGUAGAUGGGUUUUUAAGUCAGUUGUGAAAGUUUGCGGCUCAACCGUAAAAUUGCAAUUGAUACUGGCAGUCUUGAGUACAGUUGAGGUAGGCGGAAUGCGUGGUGUAGCGGUGAAAUGCUUAGAUAUCACGAAGAACUCCGAUUGCGAAGGCAGCUUACUAAACUGCCACUGACAUUGAUGCUCGAAAGUGUGGGUAUCAAACAGGAUUAGAUACCCGGGUAGUC
rnacentral:rRNA from 1 species